CCUACGGGAGACAGCAGUGAGGAAUAUUGGUCAAUGGGCGGGAGCCUGAACCAGCCAAGCCGCGUGAGGGAAGAAGGUACAGCGUAUCGUAAACCUCUUUUGUCAGGGAACAAAGGCGGGGACUAGUCCCCGGAUGAGGGUACCUGAAGAAAAAGCAUCGGCUAACUCCGUGCCAGCAGCCGCGGUAAUACGGAGGAUGCGAGCGUUAUCCGGAUUUAGUGGGUUUAAAGGGUGCGCAGGCGGCCUGUUAAGUCAGCGGUAAAAGCCCGGGGCUCAACCCCGGCGAGCCAUUGAAACUGGCGGGCUGGAGUUGGAGAGAAGUACGCGGAAUGCGCGGUGUAGCGGUGAAAUGCUUAGAUAUCGCGCAGAACCCCGAUUGCGAAGGCAGCGUACCGGCUCCACACUGACGCUGAGGCACGAAAGCGUGGGUAUCGAACAGGAUUAGAUACCCGGGUAGUC
rnacentral:rRNA from 1 species